rnacentral:rRNA from 1 species
UACGUAGGGUGCAAGCGUUAUCCGGAAUUAUUGGGCGUAAAGAGCUCGUAGGCGGUUUGUCGCGUCUGCUGUGAAAACUGGAGGCUCAACCUCCAGCCUGCAGUGGGUACGGGCAGACUAGAGUGCGGUAGGGGAGAUUGGAAUUCCUGGUGUAGCGGUGGAAUGCGCAGAUAUCAGGAGGAACACCGAUGGCGAAGGCAGAUCUCUGGGCCGUAACUGACGCUGAGGAGCGAAAGCCAGGGGAGCGAACGGG